UACGGAGGAUGCAAGCGUUAUCCGGAUUCAUUGGGUUUAAAGGGUGCGUAGGCGGGCUAUUAAGUCAGUGGUGAAAUCCUGCAGCUUAACUGCAGAACUGCCGUUGAUACUGAUAGUCUUGAGUUUGGUUAAGGUAGGCGGAAUGUGUAAUGUAGCGGUGAAAUGCUUAGAUAUUACACAGAACACCAAUUGCGUAGGCAGCUUACUGAGCCGACACUGACGCUCAGGCACGAAGGCGUGGGGAUCAAACAGGA
rnacentral:rRNA from 1 species